CCUGCGCUGCUACCAUGCAGUCGAACGGAGAUUCAGCAAUGGAUCUUAGUGGCGAACGGGUGAGUAACGCGUAGGCAAUCUGCCUUCUAGAUGGGGACAACAUCCCGAAAGGGGUGCUAAUACCGAAUGUUGUACCGUUUCCGCAUGGAGAUGAUACUAAAGGUGGCCUCUGAAUAUGCUACCGCUAGAAGAUGAGCCUGCGUCUGAUUAGCUAGUUGGAGGGGUAACGGCCCACCAAGGCUUCGAUCAGUAGCCGGUCUGAGAGGAUGAACGGCCACACUGGGACUGAGACACGGCCCAGACUCCUACGGGAGGCAGCAGUGGGGAAUCUUCCGCAAUGGACGAAAGUCUGACGGAGCAACGCCGCGUGAGUGAAGAAGGUUUUCGGAUCGUAAAGCUCUUUCGUUAGGGACGAACGUGCUCUUUGUGAAUAAUGAGGAGUAAUGACGGUACCUAAAUAAGAAGCCACGGCUAACUACGUGCCAGCAGCCGCGGUAAUACGUAGGUGGCAAGCGUUGUCCGGAAUUAUUGGGCGUAAAGCGCGCGCAGGCGGGAUAUCAAGUCUGUCUUAAAAGUGCGAGGCUCAACCUCGUGAGGGGACGGAAACUGGUAUUCUUGAGUGUCGGAGAGGAAAGUGGAAUUCCAAGUGUAGCGGUGAAAUGCGUAGAGAUUUGGAAGAACACCAGUGGCGAAGGCGACUUUCUGGGACGAUGUCUGACGCUGAGGCGCGAAAGCUAGGGGAGCGAACGGGAUUAGAUACCCCGGUAGUCCUAGCCGUAAACGAUGGGUACUAGGGUGUAGGGGGUAUCGACCCCUCCUG
rnacentral:rRNA from 1 species